UUGAUGCAAGGUUAAGCAGUAAAUGUGGAGCCGUAGCGAAAGCGAGUCUGAAUAGGGCGUUUAGUAUUUGGUCGUAGACCCGAAACCAGGUGAUCUACCCUUGGUCAGGUUGAAGUUCAGGUAACACUGAAUGGAGGACCGAACCGACUUACGUUGAAAAGUGAGCGGAUGAACUGAGGGUAGCGGAGAAAUUCCAAUCGAACCUGGAGAUAGCUGGUUCUCUCCGAAAUAGCUUUAGGGCUAGCCUCAAGUGAUGAUUAUUGGAGGUAGAGCACUGUUUGGACGAGGGGCCCCUCUCGGGUUACCGAAUUCAGACAAACUCCGAAUGCCAAUUAAUUUAACUUGGGAGUCAGAACAUGGGUGAUAAGGUCCGUGUUCGAAAGGGAAACAGCCCAGACCACCAGCUAAGGUCCCAAAAUAUAUGUUAAGUGGAAAAGGAUGUGGCGUUGCCCAGACAACUAGGAUGUUGGCUUAGAAGCAGCCAUCAUUUAAAGAGUGCGUAAUAGCUCACUAGUCGAGUGACACUGCGCCGAAAAUGUACCGGGGCUAAACAUAUUACCGAAGCUGUGGAUUGUCCUUUGGACAAUGGUAGGAGAGCGUUCUAAGGGCGUUGAAGCAUGAUCGUAAGGACAUGUGGAGCGCUUAGAAGUGAGAAUGCCGGUGUGAGUAGCGAAAGACGGGUGAGAAUCCCGUCCACCGAUUGACUAAGGUUUCCAGAGGAAGGCUCGUCCGCUCUGGGUUAGUCGGGUCCUAAGCUGAGGCCGACAGGCGUAGGCGAUGGAUAACAGGUU
rnacentral:rRNA from 1 species